rnacentral:rRNA from 1 species
AAAGGGUUUGGUCCUGACCCUAUUAUCAAUUACUUCUUAAAUUACACAUGCAAGUCUCAGCACCCCCGUGAGGACCCCCUUAUUACCUCAACCAGGCUAAGGAGCUGGUAUCAGGCACAACAUUUGCCCACAACACCUAGUCCUACCACACCCACAAGGGUAUUCAGCAGUGAUAAAUAUUGUUUAUAAACGACAGCUUGACUCAGUUAAAGAAAGUAGAGCCGGCCAACUCGGUGCCAGCCGCCGCGGCUAAACCGCAUGGGCUCAAAUUGACAAUAACCGGCGUUAAGCGUGAUUAAAGUUCCUCAAUAAUUAGAAUAAAACCCACACUUAGCUGUGAAAAGCUUGAUGUGAGAGAAGGUCAAAAACGAAAGUUAUUCUAAUCAACUACUUGAAUACACGACAGCUAGA